AUUGGACGCUGGCGGCAUGCCUUACACAUGCAAGUCGAACGGUAACGCGGGGCAACCUGGCGACGAGUGGCGAACGGGUGAGUAAUACAUCGGAACGUGCCCAGUAGUGGGGGAUAGCCCGGCGAAAGCCGGAUUAAUACCGCAUACGACCUACGGGUGAAAGCAGGGGAUCGCAAGACCUUGCGCUAUUGGAGCGGCCGAUGUCAGAUUAGGUUGUUGGUGGGGUAAAAGCCUACCAAGCCGACGAUCUGUAGCUGGUCUGAGAGGACGACCAGCCACACUGGGACUGAGACACGGCCCAGACUCCUACGGGAGGCAGCAGUGGGGAAUUUUGGACAAUGGGCGCAAGCCUGAUCCAGCCAUGCCGCGUGCGGGAAGAAGGCCUUC
rnacentral:rRNA from 1 species